GGUUAAGCGACUAAGCGUACACGGUGGAUGCCCUGGCAGUCAGAGGCGAUGAAGGACGUGCUAAUCUGCGAUAAGCGUCGGUAAGGUGAUAUGAACCGUUAUAACCGGCGAUUUCCGAAUGGGGAAACCCAGUGUGAUUCGUCACACUAUCAUUAACUGAAUCCAUAGGUUAAUGAGGCGAACCGGGGGAACUGAAACAUCUAAGUACCCCGAGGAAAAGAAAUCAACCGAGAUUCCCCCAGUAGCGGCGAGCGAACGGGGAGCAGCCCAGAGCCUGAAUCAGUGUGUGUGUUAGUGGAAGCGUCUGGAAAGGCGCGCGAUACAGGGUGACAGCCCCGUACACAAAAAUGCACAUGCUGUGAGCUCGAUGAGUAGGGCGGGACACGUGGUAUCCUGUCUGAAUAUGGGGGGACCAUCCUCCAAGGCUAAAUACUCCUGACUGACCGAUAGUGAACCAGUACCGUGAGGGAAAGGCGAAAAGAACCCCGGCGAGGGGAGUGAAAAAGAACCUGAAACCGUGUACGUACAAGCAGUGGGAGCACGCUUAGGCGUGUGACUGCGUACCUUUUGUAUAAUGGGUCAGCGACUUAUAUUCUGUAGCAAGGUUAACCGAAUAGGGGAGCCGAAGGGAAACCGAGUCUUAACUGGGCGUUAAGUUGCAGGGUAUAGACCCGAAACCCGGUGAUCUAGCCAUGGGCAGGUUGAAGGUUGGGUAACACUAACUGGAGGACCGAACCGACUAAUGUUGAAAAAUUAGCGGAUGACUUGUGGCUGGGGGUGAAAGGCCAAUCAAACCGGGAGAUAGCUGGUUCUCCCCGAAAGCUAUUUAGGUAGCGCCUCGUGAAUUCAUCUCCGGGGGUAGAGCACUGUUUCGGCAAGGGGGUCAUCCCGACUUACCAACCCGAUGCAAACUGCGAAUACCGGAGAAUGUUAUCACGGGAGACACACGGCGGGUGCUAACGUCCGUCGUGAAGAGGGAAACAACCCAGACCGCCAGCUAAGGUCCCAAAGUCAUGGUUAAGUGGGAAACGAUGUGGGAAGGCCCAGACAGCCAGGAUGUUGGCUUAGAAGCAGCCAUCAUUUAAAGAAAGCGUAAUAGCUCACUGGUCGAGUCGGCCUGCGCGGAAGAUGUAACGGGGCUAAACCAUGCACCGAAGCUGCGGCAGCGACGCUUAUGCGUUGUUGGGUAGGGGAGCGUUCUGUAAGCCUGUGAAGGUGUACUGUGAGGUAUGCUGGAGGUAUCAGAAGUGCGAAUGCUGACAUAAGUAACGAUAAAGCGGGUGAAAAGCCCGCUCGCCGGAAGACCAAGGGUUCCUGUCCAACGUUAAUCGGGGCAGGGUGAGUCGACCCCUAAGGCGAGGCCGAAAGGCGUAGUCGAUGGGAAACAGGUUAAUAUUCCUGUACUUGGUGUUACUGCGAAGGGGGGACGGAGAAGGCUAUGUUGGCCGGGCGACGGUUGUCCCGGUUUAAGCGUGUAGGCUGGUUUUCCAGGCAAAUCCGGAAAAUCAAGGCUGAGGCGUGAUGACGAGGCACUACGGUGCUGAAGCAACAAAUGCCCUGCUUCCAGGAAAAGCCUCUAAGCAUCAGGUAACAUCAAAUCGUACCCCAAACCGACACAGGUGGUCAGGUAGAGAAUACCAAGGCGCUUGAGAGAACUCGGGUGAAGGAACUAGGCAAAAUGGUGCCGUAACUUCGGGAGAAGGCACGCUGAUAUGUAGGUGAAGUCCCUCGCGGAUGGAGCUGAAAUCAGUCGAAGAUACCAGCUGGCUGCAACUGUUUAUUAAAAACACAGCACUGUGCAAACACGAAAGUGGACGUAUACGGUGUGACGCCUGCCCGGUGCCGGAAGGUUAAUUGAUGGGGUCAGCGCAAGCGAAGCUCUUGAUCGAAGCCCCGGUAAACGGCGGCCGUAACUAUAACGGUCCUAAGGUAGCGAAAUUCCUUGUCGGGUAAGUUCCGACCUGCACGAAUGGCGUAAUGAUGGCCAGGCUGUCUCCACCCGAGACUCAGUGAAAUUGAACUCGCUGUGAAGAUGCAGUGUACCCGCGGCAAGACGGAAAGACCCCGUGAACCUUUACUAUAGCUUGACACUGAACAUUGAGCCUUGAUGUGUAGGAUAGGUGGGAGGCUUUGAAGUGUGGACGCCAGUCUGCAUGGAGCCGACCUUGAAAUACCACCCUUUAAUGUUUGAUGUUCUAACGUGGACCCGUAAUCCGGGUUGCGGACAGUGUCUGGUGGGUAGUUUGACUGGGGCGGUCUCCUCCUAAAGAGUAACGGAGGAGCACGAAGGUUGGCUAAUCCUGGUCGGACAUCAGGAGGUUAGUGCAAUGGCAUAAGCCAGCUUGACUGCGAGCGUGACGGCGCGAGCAGGUGCGAAAGCAGGUCAUAGUGAUCCGGUGGUUCUGAAUGGAAGGGCCAUCGCUCAACGGAUAAAAGGUACUCCGGGGAUAACAGGCUGAUACCGCCCAAGAGUUCAUAUCGACGGCGGUGUUUGGCACCUCGAUGUCGGCUCAUCACAUCCUGGGGCUGAAGUAGGUCCCAAGGGUAUGGCUGUUCGCCAUUUAAAGUGGUACGCGAGCUGGGUUUAGAACGUCGUGAGACAGUUCGGUCCCUAUCUGCCGUGGGCGCUGGAGAACUGAGGGGGGCUGCUCCUAGUACGAGAGGACCGGAGUGGACGCAUCACUGGUGUUCGGGUUGUCAUGCCAAUGGCACUGCCCGGUAGCUAAAUGCGGAAGAGAUAAGUGCUGAAAGCAUCUAAGCACGAAACUUGCCCCGAGAUGAGUUCUCCCUGACUCCUUGAGAGUCCUGAAGGAACGUUGAAGACGACGACGUUGAUAGGCCGGGUGUGUAAGCGCAGCGAUGCGUUGAGCUAACCGGUACUAAUGAACCGUGAGGCUUAACCUU
rnacentral:rRNA from 1 species